rnacentral:tRNA from 1 species
GCUCAGAUAGCUCAACUGGUAGAGCACCGAACUGAAGAUUCGGUGAAGAAGUUCAAGUCUCCUUCUGGCA